rnacentral:rRNA from 1 species
AUGAAAGAAAAUACAUAUGUUAGUGUGACCAUUCUCUUAGCAUGCCUUAUUCUAGCCCUCGGAGGAAAAGAAGUUAACUGUAUAAGACGAGACGAGAAUACUAGCGGGGUCCCUUUGAAUCAGAAAGUCAAUAAUACUAUUGUGGUUGACAGAGGAGAUGUCUAUGACUGCAUCGAUGUGAACCUACAACCAGCCUUUAGCCAUCCACUACUGAAACACCACAAAAUCCAGAUGGAACCAAGCUCUUUCCCACAGAGUGUUUCAACCAAAUCCCUGUCGAUUCAUGCCAGGCCACCAGCCCAAUUGUCUUUGAUUGAGUGCCCUACAGGAAUGAUUCCAAUAUUGUGCAACAACAGAAGGGUCCACAAGCUAGUACAAGCUAUUGACAAAGUGAUUAGCAAGAAUGAACAACAGGAGGUUGCAGGAUUUGAGUAUCUAGAUGUGCUAUACGGAACGCGAGCUAAAAUAAAUAUCUAUGAACCUAAGGUGAAGAAUAAUAGUAAGGAUCUAAGUGCAUCAUGGAUACAGAUUAAAGGGAUACAAAAAGUAGGCCUUGCAGAUGGGAUAGGUGUUGGUUCUUGGGUAUAUCCAAGCUACAGUGGUGACAGCCUUGCUAGGUUUCACGUUGCUUGGGUUGAUGGAUUAAAGAACAGAAUUUGCCCUGAUCAUGAUUGUGGCGCUUUCGUACAAGUUAGCUCAAGUGUUGGUCUAGGAGGAAGACUUAAACCAGUUUCUAUCUAUGGCGGACCACAAUACGUCAUAGAUGUUGCCAUUUUCAAGGACCCGGUGACUAAAAAUUGGUGGGUGUCUUACGGUGAAAAAAACAUACAUUUUGGAUAUUGGCCAAAGGAAAUUUUCCAUUUCAUGAAGGAUCAAUGUAAUUACGCAUUAUGGGGUGGGUAUGUUCAAGGCCCGACUGCCUCGUCAGACUCUCCGCAGAUGGGUAGUGGUCAUUUUGCUUCCGAAGAACGUGGAAAAGCGGCAGUUGUAAGAAAUAUCCUAAUUGUAGAUAAUGAAAACAAGUAUGCUAAUCCAGAUGCCCGGAAAGCUCGUCUUGACAUCACCAGUUCAUCAAAAUAUACUGCGAAGGCUUAUGGUUAUGGAUAUAAUGACUAUGGUGUGCAUACUUACUAUGGUGGACCUGGUGCUUUUGUUUAA